rnacentral:misc_RNA from 1 species
GGAAGGAUCAUUAAUGAAGUUGAAAUGGGUUGUCGCUGCGUCACAAACGACGCGUGCACGCCCUGUUCAAAUCCACUCACACUGUGCACAACCUGUAGUUCCAGGGCGAUGAAGGGAGGGCGUUUUUCCCCUCCCCGACUUGGUUCUAUGUUUUUUUUUCACACACACGCCGUCCAAAGAGUAUUGUGGAAUGUGACCCUAGGCGUAUAACGCAAAGCAAUACAACUUUCAGCAACGGAUCUCUUGGCUCUCGCAUCGAUGAAGAACGCAGCGAAAUGCGAUAAGUAAUGUGAAUUGCAGAAUUCAGUGAAUCAUCGAAUCUUUGAACGCACCUUGCGCCCUUUGGUAUUCCAAGGGGCAUGCCUGUUUGAGUGUCAUGAACAUCUCAACUCACCCGGUCGGGUGAAAGUUGGAGUCUGGAGGUUCUUGCCGGCUUUCGUCGGCUCCUCUUAAAUGCAUUAGCCCAGCCAGUGCAGCUGGCCGCUUCGGCAGGUGUGAUAAAUGUCUACAUCCGUCAUCGCGUGCUGUCGCUGUGAAACGUGGCCGCUAACAAUGGUCUCAGAAAGAGACAUACCACCUUCGUGGACCAUUUGACCUCAAAUCAGGUAGGACUACCCGCUGAACUUAAGCAUAUCAAUAAGCGGAGGAAAAGAAACUAACAAGGAUUCCCCUAGUAACUGCGAGUGAAGCGGGAAGAGCUCAAAUUUAAAAUCUGGCGUGCCUUCGGCCGUCCGAGUUGUAGUCUGGAGAAGUGUUUUCCGCGUUGGACCGUGUACAAGUCCCUUGGAACAGGGCGUCAUAGAGGGUGAGAAUCCCGUCUCUGACACGGACUACCAGCGCUUUGUGAUGCGCUCUCAAAGAGUCGAGUUGUUUGGGAAUGCAGCUCAAAAUGGGUGGUAAAUUUCCAUCUAAAGCUAAAUAUAGGCGAGAGACCGAUAGCGAACAAGUACCGUGAGGGAAAGAUGAAAAGCACUUUGGAAAGAGAGUUAAACAGUACGUGAAAUUGCUGAAAGGGAAACGCUUGAAGUCAGUCACGUCUGCCGGGACUCAGCCUUGCUCACGCAUGGCGCACUUUCCGGUUUGACGGGCCAACAUCGACUUUGGCUGUUGGAAAAGGUUUUGGGAAUGUGGCACCUCCGGGUGUGUUAUAGCCCAUGACUGUAUGCGACAGCUGGGGUCGAGGACCGCAGCACGCCUUUAUGGCCGGGGCUUGCCCACGUACGUGCUUAGGAUGUUGGCAUAAUGGCUUUAAGCGACCCGUCUUGAAACACGGACCAAGGAGUCUAACAUGCCUGCGAGUGUUUGGGUGCAAAACCCAUGCGCGUAAUGAAAGUGAUAGUUGAGACCUCUGUCAUGGAGGGCAUUGACGCCUGGACUUGAUCUACGGAGACGGUUCCACGGUAGAGCAUGUAUGUUGGGACCCGAAAGAUGGUGAACUAUGCCUGAAUAGGGUGAAGCCAGAGGAAACUCUGGUGGAGGCUCGUAGCGAUUCUGACGUGCAAAUCGAUCGUCAAAUUUGGGUAUAGGGGCGAAAGACUAAUCGAACCAUCUAGUAGCUGGUUCCUGC